rnacentral:rRNA from 1 species
UGGGGAAUAUUGCACAAUGGGCGCAAGCCUGAUGCAGCCAUGCCGCGUGUAUGAAGAAGGCCUUCGGGUUGUAAAGUACUUUCAGCGGGGAGGAAGGGAGUAAAGUUAAUACCUUUGCUCAUUGACGUUACCCGCAGAAGAAGCACCGGCUAACUCCGUGCCAGCAGCCGCGGUAAUACGGAGGGUGCAAGCGUUAAUCGGAAUUACUGGGCGUAAAGCGCACGCAGGCGGUUUGUUAAGUCAGAUGUGAAAUCCCCGGGCUCAACCUGGGAACUGCAUCUGAUACUGGCAAGCUUGAGUCUCGUAGAGGGGGGUAGAAUUCCAGGUGUAGCAAUGAAAUGCGUAGAGAUCUGGAGGAAUACCGGUGGCGAAGGCGGCCCCCUGGACGAAGACUGACGCUCAGGUGCGAAAGCGUGGGGAGCAAACAGG